CGAGGAGGAAAGGUUGGUAGCUAAUAUCUGCCGGCUGUGACGUUACUCGCAGAAGAAGCACCGGCUAACUCCGUGCCAGCAGCCGCGGUAAUACGGAGGGUGCAAGCGUUAAUCGGAAUUACUGGGCGUAAAGCGCACGCAGGCGGUUGGAUAAGUUAGAUGUGAAAGCCCCGGGCUCAACCUGGGAAUUGCAUUUAAAACUGUCCAGCUAGAGUCUUGUAGAGGGGGGUAGAAUUCCAGGUGUAGCGGUGAAAUGCGUAGAGAUCUGGAGGAAUACCGGUGGCGAAGGCGGCCCCCUGGACAAAGACUGACGCUCAGG
rnacentral:rRNA from 1 species